CUACACCCUUCCAAGUAAACAACUGGUUGCUAGGGCGAUGAAAACUGAGAAUGCUACCUCUUGAUUUUGACAGAGCUCCAGUCAAAAGGGCAGGGACUGGGAAGAAGCUAGCCUUCUUUGGAGUUAUAACUAACGAAUCCCUAGGAUCUAACGGUACCACUGAGUGUUAAUAUGGAGCUGAGGAUCGAACCCAGGGCCUUGCAAGCGCUCUACCACUGAGCUAAAUCCCCAACCCCAAGCCUCACUUUUUCUAAGAGCAUUCCGACAACUCAGUAGGAUGACUUCCGGGUGGCACUUCCCGUCUCUGAGCUUUUCCAGGCCUCACAAAUAACAAUCGAUCAUAGGUCUUCCACUU